UACGUAGGGUGCGAGCGUUAAUCGGAAUUACUGGGCGUAAAGUGUGCGCAGGCGGCCGCGCAAGUCGAGUGUGAAAGCCCCGGGCUUAACUUGGGAAUUGCGCUCGAAACUACGUGGCUGGAGUAUGGCAGAGGAAGGUGGAAUUCCACGUGUAGCGGUGAAAUGCGUAGAGAUGUGGAGGAACACCGAUGGCGAAGGCAGCCCCCUGGGCUAGCACUGACGCUCAGGCACGAAAGCGUGGGGAGCAAACAGG
rnacentral:rRNA from 1 species